AUUUCUUUGUGUGGCUCACUUUUCGAUUUUUCAACUUCAGCUUCGGAAUGCUGAUGGCGGGAAAAUGUAUUUUCGACAUCUUCGAUUUCCCCAUUAAGAACACAGCUUGAAAGUUAAAACUGAAGAUGCGAAGCAAGAUUUUAAACUUCUGAAGAUAGUCGAUGAUAUUGCCUGUUCAGUCAUAGUGCCGAAAAAUCCGAAAUUCAUCCUGAAAUUGUAGAACCUUGUAUGAAAACUCUUGAUGAAGCACCUGAAUGACAGUAGCAAAAAUAGGUCUAUUCACUGUUGAAAACAAAGAGAAAAAUGGAAGCAAAUCUGGUUCCGUCAAUGCAAUGAAAGUUCCAAUAAUGAGUUAAUGAUUGUCGCUGGGUUUUCCAACAAUGGAAUAUUAAAAAUAGGGAGAGUGGAGGAAAAAAUCCUAAAAUCAACUAUACGUAUUUUCAAGAGAAAAUUCUAUGUCUGAUAUUUACAUAAGAAGUUCCAUCCAAUGACUCAAAGAGUGAAGCUUGAUCAAGAAAAAGCUACAAGUCAUAUUUCGAAAAGUACCACUGCAUUCCUAGAAAAAUAAAUGAAGAUUAACGCAGGUAUUUCAUAUGUACCUUUUCAUCAUAUUCCUGCGUAGUCCUCUACAUUUUAACAACGGACUACCAUCCCUUUGGUCUAUUGAAAAGAGACUUUUCUAAGUAUAAACUCACCACGAUUGAUUGAUUGAUUCUAGAAAGUAGUAGAAGAGGAAUGAAAUUUCUUCUACCAUGGAAAUGACAACGUAGAUUUAUAGUCCAGGAAAAUAUUAUCAAAUCAUUUUUUUUUAUUACAGAAAUAGCCUUUAUAUUUUAAACAUUGAUUAAACGAUCCCGAAAUCAUUCUAAAAAUGUGUAAAUACUCUCUGUGGCAUCUAUUAAAACAAAAUGUACAGAUUUA